ensembl:lncRNA
UGUUUUUUAACAAAAUAGGCUAGAAUGGAAUAGAACAUAAAAAUCAGAGUACACAUCUAGUGUGGACAAGAAAUUGCUUUGUGAAAUUUUUUGUUUCAUUUGUGGAGAAGGUGACUGAUAUUCACAUUGGAAACAAAUAGCCAGGAUUAUACAAAUUCUUAUCUGACUAGCUAUAACUCCUAUCAACCACUCUCAAAAAAAGAAAAAAAAUCAGAUUGCACGUUCAUGAAAAUGAAGAUAUUAUGGGACCACAAAUAUUGCAUGUGAUGACAAACUUCUAAUGAGCUGCAUUAAACUUUUUCAUCAAAUGUAUUCACUAUGGAUUUCCAGUGCUCAAUUGAGAUAUGUAAGUUAACUGAGAAUUCUUAAAUACAAUAUUCUUCUAUAAUACAUACUUCAUAUUUUAUGUCUCUUCUAACUCCUUUUGAAACCAUGUAGGGAUAAAUUAUCAAACUGAGAGGGAAAAUUAGUACUUGUUCAAGAAUUUUUAAAACUGUAUUUUUAUCCUAUCUCUGCUACCACCUCUCUGGCUAGUCUUGGGACAGGGAACUUUGACUUCUUGAUAUCUAAUUUCCUCAUCUGUAAUAUUAAGAAUAACUGACACAAUAAACUGUGCAAUUUAAAGUCUAAUUUGAUAAGUUUUGACAUAUGUAUUCAACUGUGAACUGUCGCUACCAUAGUUCAAAAUAGUGAACUAUUCCCCAAAGGUUUUUUUUGUGCCGCUUUGUAUUUCCUUCUUCCUGUCUCUUGGCCCUCCCAGUCCUCUCCUGUCUUCCAGUAACCACUGAUGUGCUUUCAGUCACUACAGAUUAGUUUGCAUCUUCCAGAGAAAAACACAUUUUAAGCUCACUAGUUUGAGACUAAAAUGAGGUAUAGAAUAACUUUAAUUAUUUUUAAAUAUUAAACUUUUGUUUUUUGACAUUCCCC